rnacentral:rRNA from 1 species
UAGGGAAUCUUCGGCAAUGGACGAAAGUCUGACCGAGCAACGCCGCGUGAGUGAAGAAGGUUUUCGGAUCGUAAAACUCUGUUGUUAGAGAAGAACAAGGACGUUAGUAACUGAACGUCCCCUGACGGUAUCUAACCAGAAAGCCACGGCUAACUACGUGCCAGCAGCCGCGGUAAUACGUAGGUGGCAAGCGUUGUCCGGAUUUAUUGGGCGUAAAGCGAGCGCAGGCGGUUUCUUAAGUCUGAUGUGAAAGCCCCCGGCUCAACCGGGGAGGGUCAUUGGAAACUGGGAGACUUGAGUGCAGAAGAGGAGAGUGGAAUUCCAUGUGUAGCGGUGAAAUGCGUAGAUAUAUGGAGGAACACCAGUGGCGAAGGCGGCUCUCUGGUCUGUAACUGACGCUGAGGCUCGAAAGCGUGGGGAGCAA